rnacentral:rRNA from 1 species
UGGCGGCGUGGUUAAGACAUGCAAGUCGAACGAGAGAAUUGCUAGCUUGCUAAUAAUUCUCUAGUGGCGCACGGGUGAGUAACACGUGAGUAACCUGCCCCCAAGAGUGGGAUAGCCCCGGGAAACUGGGAUUAAUACCGCAUAAAAUCGCAAGAUUAAAGCAGCAAUGCGCUUGGGGAUGGGCUCGCGUCCUAUUAGUUAGUUGGUGAGGUAACGGCUCACCAAGGCGAUGACGGGUAGCCGGUCUGAGAGGAUGUCCGGCCACACUGGAACUGAGACACGGUCCAGACACCUACGGGUGGCAGCAGUCGAGAAUCAUUCACAAUGGGGGAAACCCUGAUGGUGCGACGCCGCGUGGGGGAAUGAAGGUCUUCGGAUUGUAAACCCCUGUCAUGUGGGAGCAAAUUAAAAAGAUAGUACCACAAGAGGAAGAGACGGCUAACUCUGUGCCAGCAGCCGCGGUAAUACAGAGGUCUCAAGCGUUGUUCGGAAUCACUGGGCGUAAAGCGUGCGUAGGCGGUUUCGUAAGUCGUGUGUGAAAGGCGGGGGCUCAACCCCCGGACUGCACAUGAUACUGCGAGACUAGAGUAAUGGAGGGGGAACCGGAAUUCACGGUGUAGCA